GAUGAACGCUGGCGGCGUGCCUAAUACAUGCAAGUCGAGCGAAUGGAUUGAGAGCUUGCUCUUAUGAAGUUAGCGGCGGACGGGUGAGUAACACGUGGGUAACCUGCCCAUAAGACUGGGAUAACUCCGGGAAACCGGGGCUAAUACCGGAUAACAUUUUGAACCGCAUGGUUCGAAAUUGAAAGGCGGCUUCGGCUGUCACUUAGGGAUGGACCCGCGUCGCAUUAGCUAGUUGGUGAGGUAACGGCUCACCAAGGCAACGAGGCGUAGCCGACCUGAGAGGGUGAGCGGCCACACUGGGACUGAGACACGGCCCAGACUCCUACGGGAGGCAGCAGUAGGGAAUCUUCCGCAAUAGACGAAAGUCUGACGGAGCAACGCCGCGUGAGUGAUGAAGGCUUUCGGGUCGUAAAACUCUGUUGUUAGGGAAGAACAAGUGCUAGUUGAAUAAGCUGGCACCUUGACGGUACCUAACCAGAAAGCCACGGCUAACUACGUGCCAGCAGCCGCAGUAA
rnacentral:rRNA from 1 species